rnacentral:lncRNA from 1 species
AAUAAAUGGAAUCUUCGUUUUUGGUUGAAUCCACCGGCCUUUUCUCCGCAUUAAUCAUGGAUCUAAUUUUUUCUGCUGUGAACACUUUUAUUCUUGGGAAAACAUCAUGUGCCAUGCUUAUAUCGCCUAGGUUGAUGCUGUCUAGAUAGAACACCUGGAGAUAUUUCAAGGUGUAAUACAUUAGUCAGUAACAUGGAUUAAACAUUUAUUAAGCACAAAGACGCAUCAACAGCAUGAGACAAAUAUGCGCCUUGGAAAAAAUGCUUGCUUGGAUAAGUCCAUACCAGUCACCCCUGUCUGACUCAUCUUCUUCCAGAAUUGUGGGCAGCUUAUUGAGCUUGCUGUGAUUCUGCACAAACAAAGCAAUGAUUAUAUGUAUAACUCCUUUGAAAACCAUCCAGAUGUUGUGUUUGAUACUAUUACAGAUUGCAAACUUAUAUUUCAGUGCAUGCCAUCAUCUGAACUUAAAUUAAUGUACCAUUUGAGUCAUGCACACUGUAACGACCCUGAAAUCGUUCGAUUCAGCCAAACCCAUGACAUCCUUGAUUUAGUAACAAUACGAAAGGUAUGUCCUAAUCGACAGUUGGUUUUACUACCCAUUACAUUUGCAUCCGCGGAGACGAAAUAAAUGUGGAACAUAACUCUGCAUGAAAGAAACACAUACCUGCAUGCUGACGGCCAAAUCAUGGACGCAGGUACAGAUUUAGCGAAGCCUCCUGCCUGCCUAUUUUGAGCUGCAAAAACACAGAAGAAUGGACAAAUCGUCAAUUUCUAUCCGGCGCCCAAAACCAAACCCUGAUAUGGGUGUAUUGCUCCCAAAUAAUCUACAUCCAGAGAGAGCAAAAAGGGGAAUACACAAUAAAAAAACCACAUAUUCACCUGGGAUCUAGUUGAACAAUGCCUCCCGGCGCGGGAUCUCACCAGCGGCGGUGCCCCGGCGCGGGAUAGCGCCGGCGGCGAUUCCGGUGCCGCCCGCCCGGACCUGCGGCUGAUUCCCUGGCUCCUCUUGUUCCAGGCUUCCAGCAAGCGGACCUCCACUCAGAUCCGUGAUCUCUCCAUGCCCAUCUCAAAUGAAUCCGUCUCCCCCGCCGCCUAGCAUUCUCAGGUACAGCUACUCCACUCCAACGUCGGACGGAGGUGGAACAGAGUCACGGGGGGCUCGGCAGGAUUCUGUGUUAUCUGUGUGCAUG